rnacentral:lncRNA from 1 species
UACAAACUCACAUCAGAUUUCAUUCACAUCUCAAUUAUCCACAACUAGUGUUCAAAUUUACAAACUCAGAUAGAAGGUACUAUGGAAGACUUAGAAAUUUCCCACCAACUUUCACAUUAUACAUAACCAAUAUAGCGAUAUAACACAUGCAUAGAAUGAAUGCUGAUUGAUAUAGCAUCUUUCCUUUCUUUACUUGUGCAAGCUCCACCUUUAAACGUCUAUUUUUCGCCUUUUGAGUCUUUAUUUCAGCUAGCAAUGAGCUCACCUCGACUCCGUCACCCCUCGAUUGGCUUGAUUCAGACAAUGUUUGAUUUCUUUCAAGGAGGUCAACUAUCAUGUCCCUCACAUGAUUUGGUAUCUUUGGAUCCACCCACAUGAAGAAAUUGCAGCAACUUGGACUAUCA